UAUGAUGUGCCGGAGAAAACGGAAUGUUUUGAUAAAGCAUAAAUGUGUAGUUAAAAUACACCUUCAUAA
rnacentral:tRNA from 1 species